CAAGUUAACUAUGUAGAUAGAAUUUUCUUUUACACUGGAAGUUUUAACGUGCAAUUCGUUAUAAUUUGA
rnacentral:tRNA from 1 species